GCCUACAAACCGCCAAAAACUGUCAGUGUUGAAGACUUUCCUUCACACUUCCACUAGCUGAGUAACGGGUAUCAGAUAGUCGGGGAACUCGACUAUUGCGUUCUCUCUUGUUUUCGUAUCAUUUCGUAUCUGAUAUUUCGCUAUUGCGAAGUGAAACCACUUAAUGAAGACUGAUAUUAGGGUUCAAUCAAACAUUGCUUCAAAACCUUUCCGCCGUGCUUUUUGAAGAUAAAUAGCAUUUCUGCUCGAGUGCCUCCUUCAUUUCACCUACACUUUUCAAAAAAUCUUACGCACUUACGUACUGUCGAAACCUUUCUCGUUCUACCUGUCAGUUUUUGAUGUUGGCUAAAUUAAAAGAAAAUAAUAUUAGUGCCCACAUAUUUUUCCCAGUAUCAAUAUCGAUGGAAGUGCACUGCAUAAAUCAUAAAGUUUGUAAGUGUAUCAUAUGUGAUGCAAGAGGCAGGAGAGGAUGAAAAAGUCCUAUGAGCUGAGCCAAUUGUGUGGAAACUAUGAAUGCUUCUGAAAAGUGCAACCCAUGGGACGAAGUAAACUCAAAACAAAUAAAUUUGGCGUGGGAACUCAUUUAAAAGCUCAAACAAGUGCAGAGACAUACUUAUACAUCGGUAUGCUGCGGAACGGGUGUUAAAUUGCCGAGGACCUCAUCUGCAGCAAUAUAUGUGGUUUGCCUAAAAGGGCAAACUGUCAAUUUUCCAAGAUAAGCCGGUAUCACCGGCAGGACAGCAGGAUUAUAUAGCUAUUAUAUAUUUCAUAUUACAUGUUGUGCAUUAUGACAGUAUGCCACAACCAAACUUUUGAAAAACGUUAA